rnacentral:rRNA from 1 species
GACGAACGCUGGCGGCGUGCUUAACACAUGCAAGUCGAACGAUGAAAGAGGAGCUUGCUCCUCUGGAUUAGUGGCGAACGGGUGAGUAACACGUGAGCAAUCUGCCCCUGACUCCGGAAUAACUACGGGAAACUGUAGCUAAUACCGGAUAUGCGCCGAACAGGCAUCUGUAUCGGUGGGAAAGAAUUUCGGUCAGGGAUGAGCUCGCGGCCUUUCAGCUUGUUGGUGAGGUAACGGCUCACCAAGGCGACGACGGGUAGCCGGCCUGAGAGGGUGACCGGCCACAUUGGGACUGAGACACGGCCCAGACUCCUACGGGAGGCAGCAGUGGGGAAUAUUGCACAAUGGGCGCAAGCCUGAUGCAGCAACGCCGCGUGAGGGAUGACGGCCUUCGGGUUGUAAACCUCUUUUAGCAGGGAAGAAGCGAAAGUGACGGUACCUGCAGAAAAAGCGCCGGCUAACUACGUG